UGGCAGCUGGGACAGCACUUACAUGUAUGCAUUUCAAGUUAUAGUUUUGAGAAAAACGAGUAUUUAUGGAGAUUGCUCGAGAAUGUAACAGCGAUUUUAACCAGUGUGUGGAGAAAUUCUGUAGGGGAAGACUGAGAAUUUUCUAAAUCCAAUGUGGGACCCGGGGCGCGGCUACUCGGAUACGGAAAUACGAAGUGGGCCUCAUGGAAGUGUGACUCUGUAUCGAUGGCUACAAGGUGGUCAAGUUUGAAUAGCAGAAGAAGAAGAAGAUGGCAUCUUGGAUUUCCAGCUCAGCAGUAGGAGAGUUUAGGAUUUGAAGGGGAAAUUUCUCAGUUUUAUCUUCCUGAAUGUAAACCGUGUGGCAGAUGACAUCCUCUAUUGCCAUGGAGAGAGCUGCGCUUGCAGAGGUUACCAACCAAAUUCCAAGUCAGGAAAGGAUAGCAAUGAAAAGUGACACAUUCUUCAGGUCACAGAAACACCUGUGGAAGAUUUAUUGGCCAUCAGAGGUCACAUGACAAGCGUGCUCAUCUGGUCGGACCAAGUCAUCCAUGUCUGGUUAUUACAAGACAGAACCCAAGAUGUCCCCGGCAGCCUUGGGUUCCUUAGACGUUAGCUGGUUGACCUUGUGACACAAGAUGUCUCCAGGCAGCCUAGUAUGUCAGUUUGUCCCUCUCACGGCUUCAGCAUCACAGCCUUCAAGACUAGAGAAAGGCUGCAAAUCUUCGACUGCAACUUUCUUCUGCUGUUGGCUAAGAAUAGUGGGAAAAAUGUUAAAUUAUGAAUUCCACGUUCCGGAGCUGUUUAUGUUCAGAAACACUUGGUGCGUUUGUUUGCAAGUUGAAUUUGGAGAAAAGGGGACCUUUCUGUGCAAGAAUGGUGGUCUUUGAAAUCAGAGACACGUUGUUUAGCAUUUUCCAACUGUUGUAGUUUUGUAAAGAACAAAUUUCACAGUGCUGGCAUUGAGCCAGUGAGUUUGUAAUAAAACAGUGAAAGUGGAUGAAUUUGA